GUGGUGGCGGCGGGUUUUUACCGUUUCCUCCGCCUUGAGCCGGCCGAAGCAGAACGGUGUCAGGUCGGCUACACCAC
rnacentral:ncRNA from 1 species